rnacentral:rRNA from 1 species
GAUGAACGCUGGCGGCGUGCCUAAUACAUGCAAGUCGAGCGAACGGACGAGAAGCUUGCUUUUCUGAUGUUAGCGGCGGACGGGUGAGUAACACGUGGAUAACCUACCUAUAAGACUGGGAUAACUUCGGGAAACCGGAGCUAAUACCGGAUAAUAUUUUGAACCGCAUGGUUCAAAAGUGAAAGACGGUCUUGCUGUCACUUAUAGAUGGAUCCGCGCUGCAUUAGCUAGUUGGUAAGGUAACGGCUCACCAAGGCAACGAUGCAUAGCCGACCUGAGAGGGUGAUCGGCCACACUGGAACUGAGACACGGUCCAGACUCCUACGGGAGGCAGCAGUAGGGAAUCUUCCGCAAUGGGCGAAAGCCUGACGGAGCAACGCCGCGUGAGUGAUGAAGGUCUUCGGAUCGUAAAACUCUGUUAUUAGGGAAGAACAUACGUGUAAGUAACUGUGCACAUCUUGACGGUACCUAAUCAGAAAGCCACGGCUAACUACGUG